rnacentral:rRNA from 1 species
UACGAAGGGGGCUAGCGUUGCUCGGAAUCACUGGGCGUAAAGCGCACGUAGGCGGGUUGCUAAGUCAGGGGUGAAAUCCCGGAGCUCAACUCCGGAACUGCCUUUGAUACUGGAGAUCUUGAGUCCGGGAGAGGUGAGUGGAACUCCGAGUGUAGAGGUGAAAUUCGUAGAUAUUCGCAAGAACACCAGUGGCGAAGGCGGACUCGCUGGCCCGUACG